GCUUGUCUCAAAGAUUAAGCCAUGCAUGUCUAAGUAUAAACUGCUUAUACUGUGAAACUGCGAAUGGCUCAUUAAAUCAGUUAUAGUUUAUUUGAUGGUACCUACUACUCGGAUAACCGUAGUAAUUCUAGAGCUAAUACAUGCACAAAGGCCCGACUCACGAAGGGCUGUAUUUAUUAGAUUUAAAGCCGACAUCUUUUGGUGAUUCAUAAUAACUUUUCGAACCUCAUGCCUUUAUGGUGGAGGUGAUUCAUUCAAGUUUCUGCCCUAUCAUGCUCUCGAUGGUAGUGUAUUGGACUACCAUGGCUCUCACGGGUAACGGGGAAUUAGGGUUCGAUUCCGGAGAAGGAGCCUGAGAAACGGCUACUACAUCUAAGGAAGGCAGCAGG
rnacentral:rRNA from 1 species